rnacentral:rRNA from 1 species
GAUGAACGCUGGCGGCGUGCCUAAUACAUGCAAGUCGAGCGAACAGAUAAGGAGCUUGCUCCUUUGACGUUAGCGGCGGACGGGUGAGUAACACGUGGGUAACCUACCUAUAAGACUGGGAUAACUUCGGGAAACCGGAGCUAAUACCGGAUAACAUUUGGAACCGCAUGGUUCUAAAGUGAAAGAUGGUUUUGCUAUCACUUAUAGAUGGACCCGCGCCGUAUUAGCUAGUUGGUAAGGUAACGGCUUACCAAGGCGACGAUACGUAGCCGACCUGAGAGGGUGAUCGGCCACACUGGAACUGAGACACGGUCCAGACUCCUACGGGAGGCAGCAGUAGGGAAUCUUCCGCAAUAGGCGAAAGCCUGACGGAGCAACGCCGCGUGAGUGAUGAAGGGUUUCGGCUCGUAAAACUCUGUUAUUAGGGAAGAACAAAUGUGUAAGUAACUGUGCACGUCUUGACGGUACCUAAUCAGAAAGCCACGGCUAACUACGU